ensembl:lncRNA
CUUCGUGGUGUGUAAUGCAACUUUUCUGCCAAACGGGUCAGAUGAAAGGCAACAGUAUGUUGCAGAUUCUCUCACACCUGUUAUCUUGCAAGGCUUCAGGAUGGGGUACAGCCAAGAGGGAAAUAAUGACAUGCAUCCAGUAUGACGUCACCCCUUGGUGACGUUGAUGAGGAAUCUCUGAAGACCAUUCAUUGGACCCAUCAGCCACAGCUAUUGAGCAUCAGCCACCUGACAAGCGACCUCCACCAGUUCGACAUUGUUGCCAGAAGUGACAAGGUGGCCAUUCAACUGGAUGGUGACAAUUUAACUUCUGCAUUGGACAAACUUCAAGUUUUACUGGGUGUGCAUAAUCUACUCAGCUUGCUUCAAUUGUCCUUUACUUGAAUAUGUGUAUGAUAUGCCGGUAUCAAAGACUUGAGCUAAUCCAAGAUUGUGGAACUCAUUCACAAGCUUCAGGCUUUUUCGUAAAGACACUUUAGCAUGUAUGUACACUAUCAAGUAUACUUUGAUGAUCUCGAAACAACAAAACCUCACAGGUUAAAAGAAA